rnacentral:rRNA from 1 species
CCUACGGGGGGCUGCAGUGGGGAAUUUUGGACAAUGGGCGCAAGCCUGAUCCAGCCAUGCCGCGUGAGUGAAGAAGGCCUUCGGGUUGUAAAGCUCUUUCGGCGGGGAAGAAAUUGCACUGGCUAAUACCUGGUGUAGAUGACGGUACCCGCAUAAGAAGCACCGGCUAACUACGUGCCAGCAGCCGCGGUAAUACGUAGGGUGCGAGCGUUAAUCGGAAUUACGGGGGGUAGUGCGUGCGCAAGUGGGUUGGGAAAUCCCCGGGCUCAACCUGGGAACUGCAUUUGAGACUGCACGGCUAGAGGAUGGCAGAGGGGGGUAGAAUUCCACGUGUAGCAGUGAAAUGCGUAGAGAUGUGGAGGAAUACCGAUGGCGAAGGCAGCCCCCUGGGCUAUUUCUGACACUCAUGCACGAAAGCGUGGGGAGCAAACAGGAUUAGAUACCGUAGUC